UAAGGAAUAUUGGACAAUGGAGGCAACUCUGAUCCAGCCAUGCCGCGUGAAGGAAUAAGGCCCUAUGGGUUGUAAACUUCUUUUAGACGGGACAAAACCCCUUUACGUGUAAAGGGUUGAUGGUACUGUCAGAAUAAGCAUCGGCUAACUUCGUGCCAGCAGCCGCGGUAAUACGAAGGAUGUAAGCGUUAUCCGGAAUUAUUGGGUUUAAAGGGUGCGUAGGCGGACUAAUAAGUCAGUGGUGAAAGCCUGCAGCUUAACUGCAGAAUUGCCAUGGAUACUGUUAGUCUUGAGUACAGUUGAGGUAGGCGGAAUGUGUCACGUAGCGGUGAAAUGCUUAGAUAUGGCACAGAACACCGAUUGCGAAGGCAGCUUGCUAAGCUGUAACUGACGCUGAGGCACGAAAGCGUG
rnacentral:rRNA from 1 species